GACGAACGCUGGCGGCGUGCCUAAUACAUGCAAGUAGGACGCAGUUGCGAACGGGUGAGUAACGCGUAGGUAACUGCCUAUUAGAGGGGGGUAACUAUUGGAAACGAUAGCUAAUACCGCAUACUAGUAGAUGGACCUGCGUUGUAUUAGCUAGUAGGUAGGGUAAUGGCCUACCUAGGCGACGAUACAUAGCCGAGCGUAGAGGGUGAUUGGCCAAACCGGGAAUGAGGAACGGCCCAGACUCCUACGGGAGGCAGCAGGAGGGAAUCAUCGGAAAUGGGGGGAACCCUGACCGAGCAACGCCGCGGGAGUGAAGAAGGUUUUCGGAGCGUAAAGCUCUGUUGUUAAGGAAGCGGUACUUAACCAGAAAGGGACGGCUAACUACGUGCCAGCAGCCGCGGUAAUUC
rnacentral:rRNA from 1 species